GACGAACGCUGGCGGCGUGCUUAACACAUGCAAGUCGAACGGAAAGGCCCUGCUUUUGUGGGGUGCUCGAGUGGCGAACGGGUGAGUAACACGUGAGUAACCUGCCCUUGACUUUGGGAUAACUUCAGGAAACUGGGGCUAAUACCGGAUAGGAGCUCCUGCUGCAUGGUGGGGGUUGGAAAGUUUCGGCGGUUGGGGAUGGACUCGCGGCUUAUCAGCUUGUUGGUGGGGUAGUGGCUUACCAAGGCUUUGACGGGUAGCCGGCCUGAGAGGGUGACCGGCCACAUUGGGACUGAGAUACGGCCCAGACUCCUACGGGAGGCAGCAGUGGGGAAUAUUGCACAAUGGGCGGAAGCCUGAUGCAGCAACGCCGCGUGCGGGAUGACGGCCUUCGGGUUGUAAACCGCUUUCGCCUGUGACGAAGCGUGAGUGACGGUAAUGGGUAAAGAAGCACCGGCUAACUACGUGCCAGCAGCCGCGGUGAUACGUAGGGUGCGAGCGUUGUCCGGAUUUAUUGGGCGUAAAGGGCUCGUAGGUGGUUGAUCGCGUCGGAAGUGUAAUCUUGGGGCUUAACCCUGAGCGUGCUUUCGAUACGGGUUGACUUGAGGAAGGUAGGGGAGAAUGGAAUUCCUGGUGGAGCGGUGGAAUGCGCAGAUAUCAGGAGGAACACCAGUGGCGAAGGCGGUUCUCUGGGCCUUUCCUGACGCUGAGGAGCGAAAGCGUGGGGAGCGAACAGGCUUAGAUACCCUGGUAGUCCACGCUGUAAACGGUGGGUACUAGGUGUGGGGUCCAUUCCACGGGUUCCGUGCCGUAGCUAACGCUUUAAGUACCCCGCCUGGGGAGUACGGCCGCAAGGCUAAAACUCAAAGGAAUUGACGGGGCCCCGCACAAGCGGCGGAGCAUGCGGAUUAAUUCGAUGCAACGCGUAGAACCUUACCUGGGUUUGACAUGGAUCGGGAGUGCUCAGAGAUGGGUGUGCCUCUUUUGGGGUCGGUUCACAGGUGGUGCAUGGCUGUCGUCAGCUCGUGUCGUGAGAUGUUGGGUUAAGUCCCGCAACGAGCGCAACCCUUGUUCACUGUUGCCAGCACGUUAUGGUGGGGACUCAGUGGAGACCGCCGGGGUCAGCUCGGAGGAAGGUGGGGAUGACGUCAAGUCAUCAUGCCCCUUAUGUCCAGGGCUUCACGCAUGCUACAAUGGCUGGUACAGAGAGUGGCGAGCCUGUGAGGGUGAGCGAAUCUCGGAAAGCCGGUCUCAGUUCGGAUUGGGGUCUGCAACUCGACCUCAUGAAGUCGGAGUCGCUAGUAAUCGCAGAUCAGCAACGCUGCGGUGAAUACGUUCCCGGG
rnacentral:rRNA from 1 species